GACGAACGCUGGCGGCGUGCUUAAUACAUGCAAGUCGAACGGAAAGGCCCUGCUUUUGUGGGGAGCUCGAGUGGCGAACGGGGGAGUAUCACGUGAGUAACCUGCCCUUGAAUUUGGGGUAACUUCAGGAAACUGGGGCUAAUACCGGCUAGGAGACCCUGCUGCAUGGUGGGGGGUGGAAAGUUUCGGCGGUUGGGGCUGGACUCGCGGCUUAUCAGCUUGUUGGUGGGGUAGUGGCUUACCAAGGCUUUGGCGGGUAGCCGGCCUGGGAGGGUGACCGGCCACAUUGGGACUGGGGUACGGCCCAGACUCCUACGGGAGGCAGCAGUGGGGAAUAGUGCACAAUGGGCGGAAGCCUGAUGCAGCAACGCCGCGUGUGGGAUGACGGCCGUCGGGUUGUAAACCGCUUUCGCCUGGGACGAAGCGUGAGUGACGGUAAUGGGUAAAGAAGCACCGGCUAACUACGUG
rnacentral:rRNA from 1 species